GAUCUCCGAGGGAUAUAGUUGUCUUGAAAACAACUUAAAGGUGUUCGAUUCAUCUAGAGAUUU
rnacentral:tRNA from 1 species